rnacentral:lncRNA from 1 species
AUUAAUUCAAAUUUCCCAUGGUUAAAAUAUAUAUGUCGUGUUUUAAAUGCUAUAAGCUAAUUCAAAACACGUGAGAAGAUUUUACUGGAUGAGUAAGUAAACUUAUUUGGACACUAGAACUUACUUAUCAUGCUCUGAGGACUGUUCCAGUUGAUGAUUGAAGGCCCAUUUUGACCCCAUUCUGGUCGGAGUCUGAGAAAAACAGAAUAUUUAAUUAAUUAAGUAUCAGUUGGGAUUCUUGAUUGAUGGCAAUUGAAUUUGUAUAUCAAGUUAAUAAAUGUGUCAAUAAAACCCUAACAAUGGUGUAAAUAUAUACUCACCGAGUGGUCUGUUGGAUACAAAAAAGCAUGCUCCAAUAACAAAGUAGCAUAGCAGAAGAACAAAUCCUUUCAUGUAAUGAGAAGUUCCAUCCUGAAAAAUUAACAAUAAAAGAGUACUUAAUAUUUCUGAUUGAACUAUGAGCACAAGUUUUACAAAAAAAAAAAAAAGGAUUAAUAGUGUAAAUUAAUUACCUGUAGAGUGAAGGCUGUGGCAAUAAUUGCUAGAGCAAGAGAGCCAGUCUCAAGGAGAUUGAAGUUAAGAUCCAUUGUAAUCCCCAUAAUCCAAGAAAUAAUCACGCACAAUG